UUGACCUCAAAUCAGGUAGGAUUACCCGCUGAACUUAAGCAUAUCAAUAAGCGGAGGAAAAGAAACUAACAAGGAUUCCCCUAGUAACUGCGAGUGAAGC
rnacentral:rRNA from 1 species